UUUUUUUUAUUGUUAUUCUAUUUCUUCCUCUUCUGCCUAUUUAGUUUUUUGAUAGGCCAGGUAAGCUUUGUAAAUAAUAAAAAGAGCGAUAGGGAGAAUUAAAACUAAGAGGAAAGAAAGAGUAACACAAA
rnacentral:ribozyme from 1 species